rnacentral:rRNA from 1 species
UACGUAGGGUCCGAGCGUUGUCCGGAAUUACUGGGCGUAAAGAGCUCGUAGGUGGUUUGUCGCGUUGUUCGUGAAAACUCACAGCUCAACUGUGGGCGUGCGGGCGAUACGGGCAGACUGGAGUACUGCAGGGGAGACUGGAAUUCCUGGUGUAGCGGUGGAAUGCGCAGAUAUCAGGAGGAACACCGGUGGCGAAGGCGGGUCUCUGGGCAGUAACUGACGCUGAGGAGCGAAAGCGUGGGGAUCAAACAGG